rnacentral:rRNA from 1 species
GAUGAACGCUAGCGGCAGGCUUAAUACAUGCAAGUCGAACGGCAAGGACUUUCGGGUCCCUAGAGUGGCGCACGGGUGAGUAACACGUACACAACAUACCCUAUAUUGGAGGAUAGCCUUGGGAAACUGGGGGUAAUAUUCCAUAGUAUUUAUUGGAGGCAUCUCUGAUAAAUUAAAGAGCAAUCGAUAUAGGAUUGGUGUGCGUCCCAUUAGCUAGUUGGUAGGGUAACGGCCUACCAAGGCUACGAUGGGUAGCUGGCGUGAGAGCGCGACCAGCCACACUGGAACUGAGACACGGUCCAGACUCCUACGGGAGGCAGCAGUAGGGAAUAUUGGACAAUGGAGGCAACUCUGAUCCAGCCAUGCCGCGUGGAGGAUGACUGCCCUCUGGGUUGUAAACUCCUUUUGUACAGGAAGAAACCUCCUCAUUUAUGAGUGAGCUGACGGUACUGUAAGAAUAAGCACCGGCUAACUCCGUGCCAGCAGCCGACGG